rnacentral:miRNA from 1 species
UUUGUAUUACGUGCGGAAAUUGUUACCAUUUUCGGCUCAAAAAUGGUAACAAUUUCCGCAUGUAAUACAAA